rnacentral:rRNA from 1 species
CCUACGGGAGGCAGCAGUGAGGAAUAUUGGUCAAUGGACGAGAGUCUGAACCAGCCAAGUAGCGUGAAGGAUGACUGCCCUAUGGGUUGUAAACUUCUUUUAUAUGGGAAUAAAAUGUUCCACGUGUGGGAUUUUGUAUGUACUAUAUGAAUAAGGAUCGGCUAACUCCGUGCCAGCAGCCGCGGUAAUACGGAGGAUCCGAGCGUUAUCCGGAUUUAUUGGGUUUAAAGGGAGCGUAGGUGGUUUGUUAAGUCAGUUGUGAAAGUUUGCGGCUCAACCGUAAAAUUGCAGUUGAAACUGGCAGUCUUGAGUACAGUAGAGGUAGGCGGAAUUCGUGGUGUAGCGGUGAAAUGCUUAGAUAUCACGAAGAACCCCGAUUGCGAAGGCAGUUCACUGAACUGCAACUGACACUGAGGCUCGAAAGUGUGGGUAUCAAACAGGAUUAGAUACCCGGGUAGUC